UACAGGGGGGGCAAGCGUUGUUCGGAAUUACUGGGCGUAAAGGGCGCGUAGGCGGCCAACUAAGUCACACGUGAAAUCCCCAGGCUUAACCUGGGAACUGCGUGUGAUACUGGAUGGCUUGAAUUCGGGAGAGGGAUGCAGAAUUCCAGGUGUAGCGGUGAAAUGCGUAGAUAUCUGGAGGAACACCGGUGGCGAAGGCGGCGUCCUGGACCAACACUGACACUGAUGAGCGAAAGCCAGGGGAGCAAACGGG
rnacentral:rRNA from 1 species